UGCCCAAUCCAAUUUCAAACACGGUAUAUACCUUGUUGUUGUUUUUAUAUCAUGAUCUCUUAUUUUUCUUCUUGUUUCAUAAAAUUAUAUUCACUUAUCUUUUUUAUAUAUGGCGCAGGGCGAAAACUUUUCCAACAAUACUCUGCACCCUCUUAUGGUUCAUUCCCUGGUGGUGGAGGAUAUAAAUAUCCAUGAAAUUAUUAGCUCCAUGGUGGAGAAAAUAAUCACUCCCAACUGCUAUGUGCCUAAACUGGAGCUGCUAAUUAGUACUCAAUAUAUAGCUUAUAUGAAUUCUUUCAAAAUAAGGAGUUAUACAAAUUAUUUGUAUCUUAUUUGGCAUUGUACUAUUAGAAUAAGGAGUUUUAUUUUUGUUGUUGUUAAUCCUCCGGUUUGUAUGUAUGGUAAUAUGACCCUCUUAACCCAAGGGAAAUUUAAAAUAUAAAAGCAUCUGCCGGUUAAGAUUUUUCAUUGCCCAGUAUGCGAGAUUUCUUUUUUUUUUUUUUGGUAUUGUCAAGGAAAGCAUCUGCAUAUUAAGAUUAUUUUUUUUUACCGACAUUAAGAAUUUUGAUAAAAUUAAGACCAAAAAAAAAAGAAUUUUGAUAAAUCUAUUCUUCUAUAACAUAACGUAAUAGUACAUAGAGGGAUACAAAUUUUUGGGCUGAAUUUUUUCUUUGGUAAAAAAUACCCUUAAAUAAAACUUACUCAUAUUUUCAAUAAAAUUAAAUUAACAUAAUCUUAUGCUGUCUGUGUCUUUGAGAAAGAUAAGAUUUAUUAUAAUUUGAAAGUCACAAACAUCAAUAUCCUAUAAUUUUAAUCAAAAUUAAAAAAAAAAAACAUUUUUAUAAUUUACACGUGUUUACACGAUAAAUUAGAAAAGCGGGCAGGUGCAUGGAGUAAAAAACAUAGGAGCAAAAUGAUCCGUAUAUGAAUCAUGUGAUUGAGGAGGUAAAGUAAAAAUGAUGCGUUAGACUUCCAUGCACAGCUCAAUGGAGAAGCAGGUAAUAUUUAUAGCAGGUAAUAUUUAAUGCUGCCUCAGGACUUUGAUUAUAGCAGGAAGAACUUGGUGUUUAAUUGUGAAUGUUAGUCUCGUCAACUAUAAAAGAGUUCAACGUUGAAUAUAUAAUAAAUUUGAUUCAUAUUUUCAAUGUCCUCAAAUUAUAAGUGAAAAUAUUGUGUCACCAUAUUUUCGUGGUUCGACAAUAAACAAGUUUAAUAUUGAAUAUAUAAAAAGUUUUUUUUUUUUUUUUUACAAAUAAAUAUAUAAGAAAGAUAACUUUUAUUUUUAAUGCCUUAAAAUUUUAAAUAAAAUUAUAAAGUUAUGAUCUUUGUAAUUUUAGAUCAUUAAUUUAUUGUAUCUCGUUGAGCCACAACAAUUUGCUUGAGAAAAGUCAUGGUAAUUUUAGACCAACACACUCAAGUUGAAGACUUUUAUGUUGUAUUGACCUUUUCAACUUAAAAGUGACAUAAUCUACAACUCAUCCUCGUUUACUUUUAUUAGGCUAACAUCAUCAAACUUUGACAAAAAAUACAAAUCACGAUCAACAAAUAUAUCAGUUCAUUUGCUUUGACCUUAAAGUUUACAGCAAUGUAUGUAUGGUUUGAGAUUGAUUUCAUCUUUGAGCAAUAUUAGUCAUACCUUGUGUUGUUGACAUUGCCAAGCUAGCUUGUUUUAUUUGGUCCAAUGCUCUUUUUCUCAUGUCAAAAAUCAUACAACAAGCUCUUCAACCAUAUUGCAUUUUACUCAUUCAAAAACGAUGUGUGAUUUAACAACUCACACUUAAAAUCAAAAUAAAUGAGUAUAAGUUGUUUAAAAAGAAGAAAAGUUGUUUGAGAAAAAAAAAUUUCAAUUUUAUAUGAUGUUUUACAAUUUCAAUUAAGUAUUACUUAAUUUUAACUAGUAACAAUUUUUUAACAAUUUUUUUGUUACUAUGAUAUAGAUAUGGAGUUUCCGUCGUUGUUUAAUAGUGACUAAUCUCGGACAAGAAACUUGUGACGCACAUAAGAUGGACUAUCUUCUUCCAACCAAAUUUUUUCUAUACGUAUGACUCAAGAAUCAAACUCUUGUCCACGUACUUAAACGGUUCUAGUACUAUAUCACUUCAUUAAUCUAUUGUUGAUCUAGUAACAUAUUUUUAUCAAACGUGGCGUGUCGAUCUCUUUUGUCCUAAACCACUAGUAUGUUGUAUCUUGUUGAUUUAGAUAAAUUUCAAUCAAUUCUUAUAAACAUUCAUUUGAUCGUCGUGCCUAGACGCGACAUGUCGUCGUGCCUAGGCGCCACAUACAUGGCGAAACACAGUCCUGCUUUGCUUGACUAAACUCAUAGCAAUUUUAGACAAACACACAAGUUGGAGAUUUUUUGUUGCAUUGACCUUUUCAAAUUAAAAGCGAGAUAAAUAUAUACAACUCGUUGAUCACUCGUUUUAGGCCAACAUCAUCUAACUUGGACAAAAAAAUACAAAUCACGAUCAACACACAUUACAAUUUCUUUACUUUUGACCCUGAAGUUUACAACAAUGUAUGUAUGGUUUGAGAUUAGUUUAAUCUGUUAGCAAUAUUAGUCGUACCUUCUGCUGUUGACUUUCCAACUAGUUUGUUUUUAUGAUUGGCUAUUUGGUCCAAUAGUAUGAUUCAUUGCGUUUUUAAACGGUUCAAUUAUAUGAGUAGUUGUUGACACAGUUUAUUUAGAACUUUUAUUUAAUUCCAUGUGACAUGCUAUAUCCCAUUGAUUAAUUACUCGGGUCACUGUUAAUUGUAAUGUAUUUGAGGAAGAAUUAGUCAGCUAUGGAAUGAUCACACGCUUCCAAACAUCAUGUUUCUCUAUAAAUACAUAUUCUUCAAGUGAUAUUAUGUACUUCUCAUCCUAAACUUGCAAUUAAACUACAUACUGCAUACAUAGAUUUUAUUUUUUUGCUAGAAAUGGCGCCUAUCUUCAAUGCCUCCAAAUUGAAGUCAUUUGUUAAUCAUUUAGCAUUACUUUUAUUACUUAUCAUGUCCUCUAUGAUUGUUAGUUCUGCCCAAUCCAAUUUCAAACACGGUAUGUUGCUCGUUUGAUAUAUAAUACUCUAUCCAUUCUAAAAUAAGUGACUAAUUUGAUUGUGUGUACUUUUUACCUAACCUAUUUUAACAUGUGAAGCUCCAAUACUUCAAAAUAGAUGACGUAUUAUAUCCCCUGCGUAUCCUGCACCGAUACCUGCCCGAUACUUCCUGAUACGUAUCAGAAGAGUAUCCGAAAAUUAAAUUUUAUUUUUAAAAAAAAUAAUUAUCCGAUACGUAUCAGGAGAGUAUCCGAUAAUUAUCCUGCACCAAUACCUGCCCCAAUACUUCCCAAUUAAUGUUAAUUAAAAUAACUUAACUCUUGAGUAUAUUGCUUCUUUUUUGAAUCGAUAUAGUAUAGCACUAACAAUAUUCCUUUUGGAUAUAGUAUAACAUUUAUAUAGAAAACAGCCUAUGAUUUAUUUUGUUUGUUAAUAUAUUUGGAUAUUAAAAAGGCUUAAUUGCACUUUUGGACCUCUAUCUUUCCAAAAGUUGCGGUUAUGGAUCCCUAACUAAUUUAAAUACAAAACAGCCCCCUAUGUUUUGAUUCUUUGGCAGUUUUGGACCCCCAAGGCAAAAAAAAAAAAAUAUUGACACGUGGCACCUCACUUAGGGUGUCACGUCAGCGCUGACCGAGUCAACAAUGGACUGGGGGUCCAAAACUGCCAAAGAAUCAAAACAUAGGGGGCUGUUUUGUAUUUAAAUUAGUUAGGGGUCCAUAACCGCAACUUUUGGAAAGAUAGGGGUCCAAAAGUGCAAUUAAGCCUAUUAAAAAAAUGGUUAUAAUUAUAUUAUACAUUAAAUUUUAUAAUUUUUUAUUAACGUAUCUCAGCCGUAUCGUAUCUUGAUUUUUGAAAUUUUCUCGUAUCGACGUAUCGGUGCAGUAUCGUAUCCGUAUCAUAUCUCGUAUCCAGGCUUCACAGAUUUUAACCAUAUUUUUCUACUAAUUAAUAAAGAUAAGUGGGAUAUGUGGUUGUUGGAUUUUUGUCCAUGAAUAAUUUUUUAAUGAUAAGUGAGAGUAAUUUAAAAGUUGUGAUAAUCAUACAUACAUGGAUUCAAAAUAUAACAAUAUACAUAUAUGCAUAUUCGAGACUUCUUGUAAUCAUGUCCCUAUUUUGAAUAUGAGGCUGAUCAUUGAUGAUUUCUAUAAAUGAAUCCAUGUUUUAUAUGAUACUCUCUUUGGUUUAUUUUUUCCUCUUCUUGUUUCAUUAAAUCAUUGACUUAAUUUUAUAUAUGGUGCAGGGAGAAAACUAUUCCAAGAAGAUGUACCCGCUUAUGGUGGAUAUCCUGGUGGUGGAGGAUAUACACCAUGAAAUUAGCGUGCCUAAACCGGUGGUGUGAUAUCUGAGUCAAAAUAAAAGUACUUGCAACAUUUCUAAAUAAGGAGUUUGUACAAAUUAUAUGUAUCGUAUUUGGCAGUACUAUUAGAAUUAUAUGGCAUGUCCAAACCAUAUGUAAAAUUACUGGAGCUUUUUUUUUUUAUAUAUAUAUUUUAUAUUAAAAAAAAGAGCUGUUUUGUAGCAGGAAUAAUUUUUAUUUGUUUAUUGAAAACAAAUAAAAAUUGGAAACAACACUGUAUACGAUAAUUUUUAUUUGUUUAUUGAUUUUUUUUGAGUAAUUGGUUUAUUGAAAAC
rnacentral:lncRNA from 1 species